UACAGAGGUCUCAAGCGUUGUUCGGAUUUACUGGGCGUAAAGGGCUCGUAGGCGGCCAACUAAGUCGGAUGUGAAAUCCCCAGGCUUAACCUGGGAACUGCAUCCGAUACUGGAUGGCUUGAAUUCGGGAGAGGGAUGCAGAAUUCCAGGUGUAGCGGUGAAAUGCGUAGAUAUCUGGAGGAAUACCGGUGGCGAAGGCGGCAUCCUGGACCGACAUUGACGCUGAGGAGCGAAAGCCAGGGGAGCAAACGGG
rnacentral:rRNA from 1 species